UACGGGGGGAGCAAGCGUUGUUCGGAUUUACUGGGCGUAAAGGGCGCGUAGGCGGUCAGCACAAGUCAGUUGUGAAAUCUCCGGGCUUAACUCGGAAAGGUCAACUGAUACUGUGCGACUAGAGUGCAGAAGGGGCAACUGGAAUUCUCGGUGUAGCGGUGAAAUGCGUAGAUAUCGAGAGGAACACCUGCGGCGAAGGCGGGUUGCUGGGCUGACACUGACGCUGAUGCGCGAAAGCGUGGGGGAGCGAACAGG
rnacentral:rRNA from 1 species